GUCCCGGCGCGCCGCUGGCCGUGGGCGGAGCGGGAGAGGCGGGCGAGGCGGGCGGCUGCUGUGGAAGAGGCUGGGCCCGUGCGCUGUCGGGGCUGCAGGAAGACGCACAGAGCUUGUUUGAGCAAGACCAGGAUGGAAGAGCCCAAUGGGGACCUUCCCAUGCGGAGAGACGCCGUCCUCUCCGAGUCGUGCUGUGAUCAUGCUGUGACAAACCUGGUGGAAGUGCUGAGAUCUUUGGUGGCUUUAACUGACCCUCAGGAGGGGAAGCUGACUCAGUCUCAAGAGAAAGCACUAAACUCGCUGGGCAUUUGGAAAACUGUAUUUGCAGCUGUUCCUGGGCCUACAUCAAAGACCUC
rnacentral:lncRNA from 1 species